UCUAUAGUGAUUUUUCAACAUUUGCUGUUAUUGUACAUGAUUAUAUUUUAUGGUUGACAGGCCUUUAUCCAAAACUGUGAGGUUCAAUGUAUUGAAGGUGAUUCCAGCCGGUUCUGGUGGUGUUGGGAAAAAAGCUUUUACCGGAAUGUGAACUUGAGUGUUUCUAUUUUGAUGUUUACAUCUAGGAAUGAUGUCAAGGCAUAUCUGCUUUUGCUGAAUUUUAGUCUUCAUUGAUAUUCCUUUUUGAGAUUCAAAUUUUGAAACUUUAUGCUAGUAGUAACAAGCUUUUCUUUCCUAUUGAGAUUUGAGCCCAUAUAUGUACUGUUCAUCUUGUGAGAGGUUUGGUGCUUGAACCUUCUUUAAAAAAAA
rnacentral:misc_RNA from 1 species